rnacentral:rRNA from 1 species
GACGAACGCUGGCGGCGUGCUUAACACAUGCAAGUCACGGGGGUCUCGCAAGAGAGAACCGGCGAACGGGUGCGUAACACGUGAACAACCUGCCGUUGUGCGGGGGAUAGCCGGGCUAACGCCCGGGUAAUACCACAUACGCUGCUCGAGGGGAGUCCCUUGGGGAGGAAAGCCAUGGCGCAAGCGAUGGCGCACGACGAGGGGUUCGCGGCCUAUCAGCUAGGUUGGGGG